rnacentral:antisense_RNA from 1 species
GCCCGGGUCGGGGCCCCAUGUUGAGAACCCUGCCACCCCAACUUGAGCGUGGUCUUUGGAGAGUUGCCCUGUGAAAAGGGGUGACUUUGCCAUGCUCCUUCCCAGUCCACCUCCUGUUAGUUACAGUUUCUCAUUCCUUUUGAGUAGCAGGCCCUGUUGCUCCACCUAAUCCCUGCAAAUAAACCGUCCCCCAAAUCAAAAUGAGUUCCAUCGGGAACUUUGUAGGAUUGGUCCUAAGAAGAUCCCGCCGAAUCUCUCCACCACUUCCAAGCAGAGUGCAGUAAAACCGGGGACUAAGCAAAGUGGCUGACAUGUAGUAAGUGCUCAAGAAAUGGAUGUUGACUAGAUGCUACCUCUCAUCUUUGCCUGUCUGAACUUUCAAGCACCGGAUGCGAGUAGACCGAGAGCCUCCGCCAACCAGGUCUCGCUCUGUCACCCAGGCUGGAGUGCUCUGGCAUAAUCAUGGCUCACUGCAACCUUGAACUCCUGGGCUCAAGAGAGCUAUAUGAAUUUUAAGGCACAGUCUCACUCUCUUGCCCAAUCUGGAGUGCAGUGGUGUGAUCUCGGCUCACUGCAACCUCUGCCUCAUGGGAUCAAGCAAUUCUCCUGCCUCAGCCUCCCAGGUAGGUGGGAUUACAGGCUGGAGUGCAGUGGUUCAAUCUCGGCUCACUACAACCUCCGCCUCCUGGGUUCAAGUGAUUCUUCUGCCUCAGUCUCCUGAGUAGCUGGGAUUACAGGU